GGAAUUAGCUCUAUUACCCAGGAAAGCAAAGGACUCAAAGGCUGGGGAUUAAGGAUUUAGAAAGGAAAUGGUUUUGUGAAGUGGAUUAUUUGAGGCUGGGAAGGGCAAGUAGGAAGCAAGGACCUGGGAGAGGGAAACUCCAUGGAGACAUGUGCAGAACAUAAACAUGGAUGGAGGUGAGUCAGCUUCAACCACGCCAUGAGGAACAGUGCCUUAGAAGAUGGCAGAGACACUGGAAGAAUGGAACCUGAGUCAUGGAAUGACCUCUUAUUGUAGAGCUGCUUCGCUAAUCCUAGACUGCUCACGUCUGGACUGUUACUAGAAAAAUAAGUAAACGUUUAAAUUUUUAAAGCCAC
rnacentral:lncRNA from 10 species